GACGGAACGGAAAGAGAAGUGCCGCAGCCAAACCGGUCCCCCGCCGCGCCUCGCUUGCGUAGCUCCUCGCUUUUCCAGAAGGUUCCGCGCACGCGGCCGGUGAGGGGCGCGCAUCCCCGGCGUCGAUCAGUCCGCCCGAGCUCCCGGUGUGGUCGUUCAGCCUCCCCGUCCUGACUUGGAACCGAAACAAGAAUAACGAAUGAAAGUGGCGGUCAGUCGCCAUCCCCCUCGGAUUGUUGUUGGUGGUGGAUCAGGUCUGGAGUCUGUAGAAUUGGACAGAGAAACCAUGGGGGACGGUUUGUUUUAAAACGGUGACCCGCCCCCAACUGGAGUAUCUCACAGAGCCGCACAGAGCCUUUAUAAUCCCUCAGGAAUGAUUCUGCAUUCAUGUAGCACCUUCAAUAACCUCAGCCUCCACUGCACCUGAAGUGACUCUAGUUCCUAUGUAACCAACAGCCCAUUUAUUCACAGCAAGAUCCCAGCCAGGCUGACCAGUAACCCAGAAAUGAUUCACAAAUGAACCAGUCGGAGAGGGUUCAGAUGGAUAUGUGAGCUUAUCAAUGUGAUUUGGAACAACAUGCAAAGGCUUUAAUUUUUUAUGAGAAAGAUCCUACUUUCCUGCCUCCAUUCUGAACAGAACAGUUUGUGUUUGAUGCUGCCAGACCCGCUGAGCUUUUGCAGCAACUUCUGUUUUUGUUCCUGAUUUACAGCACCUGUAGCUCUUUGGAUUUUCAUAUUUGCAGAGCUGCUAAGCAUGAGCAGAAAGUGAGCUCUUUUAAAGAGUCAGUCCAGGUACAAAGGGCUGAAUGGCCUCCCUCUGUGCUAUGGUAGUCUCUGAUUUCCGAGAAAGCGCUGCACUGACUGACAUCCCAUGAAUGAAAGAACUAAAAAAAAGUGGAAACUGCUAACUCCAAGUUAUCAGGAUUCAUCGAAAAUGACAAGUUUGGGUCUUGACAAGUUGAUAUAAAAAUAGUCUGGCGUCCAAACAUUGGAUGUUGAACCAAUAAAAAGAUCUCCCACCCAAUCUCUGACUGUACUGGAACAUAACAUCAUAAAAUUCUGGUGUGAGUACUGGUUAUGAUUGAGAACCAUUAGAUCAGCACCCUUGUUCUUGCAAUUUCUAAAUUGGUUGCAGUUUGCAAAUAUCAUCCUAGAGACAUUGAGAGAAAAAUGACAGCAAUUGCAAUAAAAAAAGAAAAUCCUGACAAUGUCAAACCAGUUGGUUAACUUCUGUAAAAUGAAAGUAUAUUUGUGUCUACAUGACAUUUUUCAGACCUUUAGAGCCUCCCGAAGCUUCUCUCAUUGCCCAUAGAAUACAACUGAAGGACAGUCACUGUUGUAAUGUAGGAUAAAUACACUGAUGUGGUCAUUUUAACAGACCUUU